AGAGUUUGAUCAUGGCUCAGAACGAACGCUGGCGGCAGGCCUCAAACAUGCAAGUCUAGGGGACGUAGCAAUACGUCACCGGCGGACGGGUGCGUAACACGUGGGAACAUACCUUUCGGUACGAACAACUGAGGGAAACUUCAGCUAAUACCGUAUACGCCCGUAAGGGGAAAGAAUUUCGCCGAAAGAUUGGCCCGCGUUCGAUUAGCUAGUUGGUGAGGUAAUGGCUCACCAAGGCUCCGAUCGAUAGCUGUUCUGAGAGGAAGAUCAGCCACACUGGGACUGAGACACGGCCCAGACUCCUACGGGAGGCAGCAGUUGGGAAUCUUGGACAAUGGGGGAAACCCUGAUCCAGCCAUGCCGCGUGAGUGAUGAAGGCCUUCGGGUUGUAAAGCUCUUUUCCCGGGAAGAUAAUGACUGUACCGGGAGAAUAAGCUCCGGCUAACUUCGUGCCAGCAGCCGCGGUAAUACGAAGGGGCUAGCGUUGUUCGGAAUUACUGGGCGUAAAGCGCGCGCAGGCGGCUUCUCAAGUCAGUGGUGAAAGCCCGGAGCUCAACUCCGGAAAUGCCAUUGAAACUGUGAAGCUUGAGGACGAGAGAGGUGAGUGGAAUUCCCAGUGUAGAGGUGAAAUUCGUAGAUAUUGGGAAGAACACCGGUGGCGAAGGCGGCUCACUGGCUCGUUUCUGACGCUCAGGCGCGACAGCGUGGGGAUCAAACAGGAUUAGAUACCCUAGUAGUCC
rnacentral:rRNA from 1 species